GACGAACGCUGGCGGCGUGCCUAAUACAUGCAAGUUGAGCGCUGAAGGUUGGUACUUGUACCAACUGGAUGAGCAGCGAACGGGUGAGUAACGCGUGGGGAAUCUGCCUUUGAGCGGGGGACAACAUUUGGAAACGAAUGCUAAUACCGCAUAAAAACUUUAAACACAAGUUUUAAGUUUGAAAGAUGCAAUUGCAUCACUCAAAGAUGAUCCCGCGUUGUAUUAGCUAGUUGGUGAGGUAAAGGCUCACCAAGGCGAUGAUACAUAGCCGACCUGAGAGGGUGAUCGGCCACAUUGGGACUGAGACACGGCCCAAACUCCUACGGGAGGCAGCAGUAGGGAGUCUUCGGCAAUGGACGAAAGUCUGACCGAGCAACGCCGCGUGAGUGAAGAAGGGUUUCGGAUCGUAAAACUCUGUUGGUAGAGAAGAACGUUGGUGGGAGUGGAAAGCUCAUCAAGUGACGGUAACUACCCAGAAAGGGACGGCUAACUACGUG
rnacentral:rRNA from 1 species